rnacentral:rRNA from 1 species
GACAGAGGGUGCAAACGUUGUUCGGAAUUACUGGGCGUAAAGCGAGUGUAGGCGGUCUGUAAAGUCGGGUGUGAAAGCCCCGGGCUCAACCCGGGAAGUGCACUCGAAACUCACAGGCUAGAGUAUCGGAGAGGUUGGUGGAAUUCUCGGUGUAGAGGUGAAAUUCGUAGAUAUCGAGAGGAACACCGGUGGCGAAGGCGGCCAACUGGACGAAUACUGACGCUGAGACUCGAAAGCGUGGGGAGCGAACAGG